rnacentral:lncRNA from 1 species
AAGAGUUCCAAUAGACUUCUAAGCCCGAUGGAUGAGAAAGACUGAAGUAGGGCGGCCAUGUGUGGUUGUGCUCUGCAUAAUUAGGAUGAGUGGAGGCUUAAUCUCUCCUGCACUUUGCUUGCCAAACCAUUUUCCCUUGAGCUUCUGUAUCUGCCUGUAAGGGACACCUUUACCCUGUUCACACAGAGGCAGAAGCAGGUUUUGCCCAACCUGCCUCAUUUGAGCAUGAGAACCCAGAAUUUUCAAAGAGGCUCAGGAUGCAAAAGAAGCCUAGAAAGGGGAGAGGUUGAUCCAAGACAUGGGUUUGGCCUUAUGACUCUGGUUUUGACUCUCAAAAUGGCUUCAGGCAGGAGCUAUAAGGAUCUUAUAUAGAACAGAGCCUCUGAAAACUUACCACCCUCACCCAAGUCCCCGGCACUGGUUCUCCCGUAGGGCCAGAGUGAGGUGUUUUCUCGCUUUCAAGCUCUUAAUUUGGCAACAUCACAUAUGCUUGAGGUCAUCUGGCCAUUUUUAUCUGCACCUUUGGAAAAUAUAUGUUGGAUGGCUUCAGCAAGCUUAGCAGAUGAAGGAAGGAAGGAAGAAAGGAAGGAAGAAAGGAAGGCAAGGAGGACCGGCCCCAGCUGCUGCGCUCUGAUGGAUUCCUCUUAACCAAAGAUUGGGAUUUGCAAGACAUGGGUGAUUAAGAUCUAGUGUAAGACACACAAAAUGUGGGUCUCAUUUGAUUGGCGAGCUUGGCAUGGAAACUCCUGAUAUUCUUUCCAAACCUUCCUUUGAGCUUCUCUGCAAUCUAAACUGCUUAGAUCCAAC